AGCAGCCGCGGUAAUUCCAGCUCCAAUAGCGUAUAUUAAAGUUGUUGCAGUUAAAAAAGCUCGUAGUUGAAUUUCGGGGUUAGUAAGUUGGUCGUGCCACUGGCAUGUACUGGCUUUACUGAUUCCUCCCUCUUGCAGAACCGUAAUGCCAUUAACUUGGUGUUGCGGGAAAACAGGACUGUUACUUUGAAAAAUUAGAGUGUUUAAAGCAGGCUAACGCCUGAAUACAUUAGCAUGGAAUAAUGAAAUAGGACGUCGAUCUUAUUUUGUUGGUUUCUAGGAUUGACGUAAUGAUUAAUAGGGAUAGUUGGGGGCAUUAGUAUUCAAUUGUCAGAGGUGAAAUUCUUGGAUUUAUUGAAGACUAAC
rnacentral:rRNA from 1 species